rnacentral:rRNA from 1 species
CACGUAGGAGGCAAACGUUAUCCGGAUUUACUGGGCGUAAAGCGCGUGUAGGUGGUUCUGUAAGUAGGGCGUGAAAGCUCCCGGCUCAACUGGGAGAGGCCGUUCUAAACUGCAGAGCUAGAGGAUGGUAGAGGGAGGUGGAAUUCCAGGUGUAGCGGUGGAAUGCGCAGAUAUCUGGAGGAACACCAGUGGCGAAGGCGGCCUCCUGGACCAUUCCUGACACUCAGACGCGAAAGCUAGGGUAGCAAACGGGAUUAGAUACCCCACGUAGU